rnacentral:rRNA from 1 species
UACAGAGGGUGCAAGCGUUGUUCGGAAUUAUUGGGCGUAAAGCGCGUGUAGGCGGCUUUGCAAGUCGGGUGUGAAAGCCCUCGGCUCAACCGAGGAAGUGCGCCCGAAACUGCAGAGCUUGAGUGCCGGAGAGGAUGGCGGAAUUCCCCAAGUAGAGGUGAAAUUCGUAGAUAUGGGGAGGAACACCGGUGGCGAAGGCGGCCAUCUGGACGGUCACUGACGCUGAGACGCGAAAGCGUGGGAGCAAACAGG